CAGCUCAAAUUUGAAAUCUGGCUCUCGGGCCCGAGUUGUAAUUUGUAGAGGAUACUUUUGAUGCGGUGCCUUCCGAGUUCCCUGGAACGGGACGCCAUAGAGGGUGAGAGCCCCGUCUGGUUGGAUGCCAAAUCUCUGUAAAGUUCCUUCAACGAGUCGAGUAGUUUGGGAAUGCUGCUCUAAAUGGGAGGUAUAUGUCUUCUAAAGCUAAAUACCGGCCAGAGACCGAUAGCGCACAAGUAGAGUGAUCGAAAGAUGAAAAGCACUUUGAAAAGAGAGUUAAAAAGUACGUGAAAUUGUUGAAAGGGAAGCGUUUAUGACCAGACUUGGGCUUGGUUAAUCAUCUGGGGUUCUCCCCAGUGCACUUUUCCAGUCCAGGCCAGCAUCAGUUUUCCCCGGGGGAUAAAGGCGGCGGGAAUGUGGCUCUCUUCGGGGAGUGUUAUAGCCCACCGUGUAAUACCCUGGGGGGGACUGAGGUUCGCGCAUCUGCAAGGAUGCUGGCGUAAUGGUCAUCAACGACCCGUCUUGAAACACGGACCAAGGAGUCGUCUUCGUAUGCGAGUGUUCGGGUGUCAAACCCCUACGCGUAAUGAAAGUGAACGCAGGUGAGAGCUUCGGCGCAUCAUCGACCGAUCCUGAUGUUCUCGGAUGGAUUUGAGUAAGAGCAUACGGGGCCGGACCCGAANGAAGGUGAACUAUGCCUGUAUAGGGUGAAGCCAGAGGAAACUCUGGUGGAGGCUCGCAGCGGUUCUGACGUGCAANUCGAUCGUCAAAUAUGGGCAUGGGGGCGAAAGACUAAUCGAACCUUCUAGUAGCUGGUUUCCGCCGAAGUUUCCCUCAGGAUAGCAGUGUUGAACUCAGUUUUAUGAGGUAANGCGAAUGAUU
rnacentral:rRNA from 1 species